AGGAUGUGCACGUAUCUGCAGGCAGC
rnacentral:piRNA from 1 species